UGAGGAAUAUUAGAAAUGGACGAAAGUCUGAUCUAGCAACACCGCGUGUGCGAAGAAGGCCUUCGGGUCGUAAAGCACUUUUUGGAAGGAAUAGGAAGGAAUGUACUUCCAGAAUAAGUCUCGGCUAACUACGUGCCAGCAGCCGCGGUAACACGUAGGAGGCGAACGUUAUACGGAUUUACUGGGCGUAAAGCGCGUGUAGGUGGUUCUGUAAGUAGGGCGUGAAAGCUCCUGGCUCAACUGGGAGAGGCCGUUCUAAACUACAGAACUAGAGGAUGGUAGAGGGAUGUUGAAUUCCGGGUGUAGCGGUGGAAUGCGCAGAUAUCCGGAGGAACACCAGUGGCGAAAGCGGCCUCCUGGACCAUUCCUGACACUCAGACGCGAAAGCUAGGGUAGCAAACG
rnacentral:rRNA from 1 species